rnacentral:rRNA from 1 species
UAACACGUAGGGAACCUGCCUGCAUGAGCGGGAGAACUUCUGGAAACGGAAGCUGAUACCGGAUGAGCAAAGAGGAGGCAUCUUCUUUUUGGAAAAGGGGACAAGAGUCCCGCAUGCAGAUGGACCUGCGGUGCAUUAGCUGGUUGGAGAGGUAACGGCUCACCAAGGCGACGAUGCAUAGCCGGCCUGAGAGGGCGGACGGCCACACUGGGACUGAGACACGGCCCAGACUCCUGCGGGAGGCAGCAGUAGGGAAUUUUCGUCAAUGGGGGGAACCCUGAACGAGCAAUGCCGCGUGAGCGAGGAAGGUCUUCGGAUCGUAAAGCUCUGUUGCCGGGGACAAAAGGCAGAAAGAGUGGAAAGCUUUCUGAGUGAUGGUACCCGGCGAGGAAGUCACGGCUAACUACGUGCCAGCAGCCGCGGUAAUACGUAGGUGGCGAGCGUUAUCCGGAAUGAUUGGGCGUAAAGGGUGCGCAGGCGGCCGGGCAAGUCCGCAGUAAAAACUGGAGGCUCAACCUUCAGGGGCUGCGGAAACUGUCCGGCUGGAGAGCAGGAGAGGACGGUGGAACUCCAUGUGUAGCGGUAAAAUGCGUAGAUAUAUGGAAGAACACCGGUGGCGAAGGCGGCCGUCUGGCCUGCAUCUGACGCUGAGGCACGAAAGCGUGGGGAGCAAAUAGGAUUAGAUACCCUAGU